AAGCGAGGAGGAGGCUACCGAGAUUAAUACUCUUGGAUAGUGGACGUUACUCGCAGAAUAGGCACCGGCUAACUCUGUGCCAGCAGCCGCGGUAAUACAGAGGGUGCAAGCGUUAAUCGGAUUUACUGGGCGUAAAGCGCGCGUAGGUGGCCAAUUAAGUCAAAUGUGAAAUCCCCGAGCUUAACUUGGGAAUUGCAUUAGAUAUCUGGUUGGCUAGAGUAUGGGAGAGGAUGGUAGAAUUCCAGGUGUAGCGGUGAAAUGCGUAGAGAUCUGGAGGAAUACCGAUGGCGAAGGCAGCCAUCUGGCCUAAUACUGACACUGAGGUGCGAAAGCAUGGGGAGCAAACAGGAUUAGAUACCCUGGUAGUCCAUGCCGUAAACGAUGUCUACUAGCCGUUGGGGCCUUUGAGGCUUUAGUGGCGCAGUAACGCGAUAAGUAGACCGCCUGGGAGUACGGUCGCAAGACUAAAACUCAAAUGAAUUGACGGGGGCCCGCACAAGCGGCCGCGUGUGUGAAGAAGGCCUUUUGGUUGUAAAGCACUUU
rnacentral:rRNA from 1 species